GCCCUGUUAGCUCAGUUGGUAGAGCAGUCGCCUCUUAAGCGAACGGUCGUUGGUUCGAAUCCAACACGGGGCA
rnacentral:tRNA from 1 species